CACGGGGGGAGCAAGCGUUGUUCGGAUUCACUGGGCGUAAAGGGUGCGUAGGCGGUCGGGUAAGUCUGACGUGAAAUCUUCAAGCUCAACUUGGAAACUGCGUCGGAUACUAUUCGGCUCGAGGAAUGGAGGGGAGACUGGAAUACUUGGUGUAGCAGUGAAAUGCGUAGAUAUCAAGUGGAACACCAGUGGCGAAGGCGAGUCUCUGGACAUUUCCUGACGCUGAGGCACGAAAGCCAGGGGAGCAAACGGG
rnacentral:rRNA from 1 species